rnacentral:rRNA from 1 species
UAGUUAAUUAGUUGCUUAUCUUGUGCGUUGUGUGUGCAAUUGUGUGGUGUUUUCGCAUUUAAUGGUUUAUUUUUGGACAUGGCAAAUUUUUUAUAGUGGUAAGUACUGAAGAAGGAAAACUUAAAUUUUAAGCUAGAGUGAAGAAGUACCGUGAGGGAAAAUUGUUUGUGUGAAGCUUUUUUUUAGUAGGGGUUAAGCUCUGUACCUUUUGCAUCAUGGUUUUUUAAGAGGUUUUUUAGAUAAAGUUGGCCCGAAAGAAAACGAGCUAUUUUUUAGCUUGCGUCAUCGUUGUAAAGAUGUGCUCAGACUUAAAAAUAGGAGUGAUAUUCUUUUCGCGUUUUUUGAUAGCUGGUUGGUCGGGAAAGGCAUUAGAGUGCUGGCUUGAUUUAUGAUUUUUGCCUUGGGAUGAAUUUUAUGGAAGUUUUCUGGCAAGGAUUUGAAAAUCAAGUCUUGUGUAAGAAAGGAUUAGCUUUCUCAUGUUGUUAAAAAGUGCAUGGUUAGUAGUGUUGGAGGCGGUUUAGUAGGCUUGGAAUCGGCCAUCUUUUAAGUUUGUUUUAAAAUAUCUGUUUUUGUAACUAAAAAUUAAUAUGUGUAUUUUUAAUUAAAUUGUUUUAGUACCGACUUUACUAAUGUAACUAAGUUUAUUUGUGUAAUAAUGAGAAAAUGAGUAUUUAUUUUUAUUUAGUUGCUUUUGUUUAUUAAAGUAAGUAAGCUACGACUUGAUUUAGUGUGUUUAGUGUAAAAAAUUAAAUUCCAGAAAAGGAACUCGGCAAAUGUCGGCCUCGCCUGUUUAGCAAAAACAUGGCUCUUCGGUUAUUAAUUAAAUGAGGAGUCGGACCUGCCCGGUGACCUACGGGUUAAACGGCCGCGGUACACUGACCGUGCAAAGGUAGCACAAUCACUUGCCCUUUAAUUAGAGGCUGGUAUGAAUGGUUUGACGAGGGUUGAGCUGUCUCUUUUGGAAUAUUUAAAAAUUAACUUCUAGGUGAAAAGGCCUAGAUUGAGCUGAGGGACGAGAAGACCCUGUUGAGCUUUAGUGUUGGGUAGAGAGUGGCAUUUCUAUUAUUAAUAGAAAGUUUAGAUUUACUUUUACAUCUUUAGUUGGGGUGACUAGGGAACAUGGAUAGCUUCUCUGUUGUUUGUUUAACUUAAUUUGGUGGACUGACUGGUGAUCCAGCAUUGUUGAUUAUCGGAAAAAGUUACCACAGGGAUAACAGCGUAAUCUUUCUGGAGAGUUCACAUUGAAAGAAGGGUUUGCGACCUCGAUGUUGGAUUAAGGUGUCCUGAGGGUGUAGCAGCUUUCGUUGGUUGGUCUGUUCGACCAUUAAAACCUUACAUGAUCUGAGUUCAGACCGGCGUGAGCCAGGUUGGUUUCUAUCUUCAGUUUUUAUAGUUCUUUGACUAGUACGAAAGGA